rnacentral:rRNA from 1 species
AUGCACGCUGGCGGCGUGCCUAAUACCUGCCAGUCGAGCGAACAGAUAAGGAGCUUUCUCCUUUGACGUUAGCGGCGGACGGGUAAGUAACACAUGGGUAACCUACCUAUAAGACUGGAAUAACUCCGGGAAACCGGGGCUAAUGCAGGAUAACAUGUUGAACCGCAUGGUUCUACAGUGAAAGGCGGCUUUGCUGUCACUUAUAGAUGGACCCGCGCCGUAUUAGCUAGUUGGUGAGGUAACGGCUCACCAAGGCAACGAUACGUAGCCGACCUGAGAGGGUGAUCGGCCACACUGGAACUGAGACACGGUCCAGACUCCUACGGGAGGCAGCAGUAGGGAAUCUUCCGCAAUGGGCGAAAGCCUGACGGAGCAACGCCGCGUGAGUGAUGAAGGUCUUCGGAUCGUAAAACUCUGUUAUUAGGGAAGAACAAAUGCGUAAGUAACUGUGCGCGUCUUGACGGUACCUAAUCAGAAAGCCACGGCUAACUACGUG